rnacentral:rRNA from 1 species
CCUACGGGAGGCAGCAGUGGGGGAUAUUGCACAAUGGGGGGAACCCUGAUGCAGCGACGCCGCGUGGGUGAAGAAGCGCCUCGGCGCGUAAAGCCCUGUCAGCAGGGAAGAAAAUGACGGUACCUGAAGAAGAAGCCCCGGCUAACUACGUGCCAGCAGCCGCGGUAAUACGUAGGGGGCAAGCGUUAUCCGGAUUUACUGGGUGUAAAGGGAGCGUAGACGGCAAUACAAGUCGGAAGUGAAAUACCCGGGCUCAACCUGGGAACUGCUUUGGAAACUGUAUGGCUGGAGUGCUGGAGAGGUAAGCGGAAUUCCUAGUGUAGCGGUGAAAUGCGUAGAUAUUAGGAGGAACACCAGUGGCGAAGGCGGCUUACUGGACAGUAACUGACGUUGAGGCUCGAAAGCGUGGGGAGCAAACAGGAUUAGAUACCCUAGUAGUC